UACGUAGGGGGCAAGCGUUGUCCGGAUUUAUUGGGCGUAAAGAGCUCGUAGGCGGUUCCGUAAGUCGUGAAGUCAAAUCUCUGGGCCCAACCCAGAAUCGCUUCCGAUACUGCGGUGACUGGAGUCCGGUAGGGGAGUGUGGAAUUCCUGGUGUAGCGGUGAAAUGCGCAGAUAUCAGGAGGAACACCAACAGCGAAGGCAGCACUCUGGGCCGGUACUGACGCUGAGGAGCGAAAGCAUGGGGAGCGAACAGG
rnacentral:rRNA from 1 species